rnacentral:rRNA from 1 species
CCUACGGGGGGCAGCAGUGGGGGAUAUUGCACAAUGGGGGGAACCCUGAUGCAGCGACGCCGCGUGGGUGAAGAAGUAUUUCGGUAUGUAAAGCCCUAUCGGCAGGGAAGAAAUUGGACGGUACCUGACUAAGAAGCCCCGGCUAACUACGUGCCAGCAGCCGCGGUAAUACGUAGGGGGCAAGCGUUAUCCGGAUUCACUGGGUGUAAAGGGAGCGUAGACGGACUUGCAAGUCUGAUGUGAAAAUCCGGGGCCCAACCCCGGAACUGCAUUGGAAACUGAGUAGCUAGAGUGCAGGAGAGGUA